rnacentral:rRNA from 1 species
AACGCGGUGAUACCACCCGCACGUAUAGAUGGACAAGAAUAGGCUUCGGCUUAGCGUCUUAGCAGGCGAUUCUUCCACGGCGCUCGAAGCGCGUCGUGGUAUUUCGCGUAUUGUAAUUUCAACACGAGCGGGGUCAAAUCCUUUGCAGACGACUUAGCUGUGCGAAACGGUCCUGUAAGCAGUAGAGUAGCCUUGUUGUUACGAUCUGCUGAGGGUAAGCCGUCCUUCGCCUCGAUUU